rnacentral:rRNA from 1 species
CCUACGGGUGGCAGCAGUGAGGAAUAUUGGUCAAUGGACGAGAGUCUGAACCAGCCAAGUAGCGUGAAGGAUGACUGCCCUAUGGGUUGUAAACUUCUUUUAUAUGGGAAUAAAAUGUUCCACGUGUGGGAUUUUGUAUGUACCAUAUGAAUAAGGAUCGGCUAACUCCGUGCCAGCAGCCGCGGUAAUACGGAGGAUCCGAGCGUUAUCCGGAUUUAUUGGGUUUAAAGGGGGCGUAGGUGGAUUGUUAAGUCAGUUGUGAAAGUUCGCGGCUCAACCGUAAAAUUGCAGUUGAAACUGGCAGUCUCGAGUAGAGGAGAGGUGGGCGGAAUGCGUGGUGUAGCGGUGAAAUGCUUAGAUAUCGCGAAGAACUCCGAUUGCGAAGGCAGCUCACUGGACUGCAACUGACACUGAGGCUCGAAAGUGUGGGUAUCGAACAGGAUUAGAUACCCGAGUAGUC